GCUCAUCCACAUCACAUGUCCUCCUUAAUGCCCAUCAUCCAGUUACCCCAUUCCCCCACCCUUCUUCCCUCCAGUGACCCUCAAUUUGUUCCCUAUUGUUCAGAAUCUCUUAUGGUUUGCCUCCUUUUCUGUUUUUAUCUUAUUUUAUUUUUCCUUCCCUUCCUCUACGUUCAU